AGAUUGGGCGCUGGCGGCAGGCCUAACAGAUGCAAGUCGAGCGGAAGCGAGUUAUCUGAACCUUCGGGGAACGAUAACGGCGUCGAGCGGCGGACGGGUGAGUAAUGCCUAGGAAAUUGCCCUGAUGUGGGGGAUAACCAUUGGAAACGAUGGCUAAUACCGCAUAAUGCCUACGGGCCAAAGAGGGGGACCUUCGGGCCUCUCGCGUCAGGAUAUGCCUAGGUGGGAUUAGCUAGUUGGUGAGGUAAGGGCUCACCAAGGCGACGAUCCCUAGCUGGUCUGAGAGGAUGAUCAGCCACACUGGAACUGAGACACGGUCCAGACUCCUACGGGAGGCAGCAGUGGGGAAUAUUGCACAAUGGGCGCAAGCCUGAUGCAGCCAUGCCGCGUGUGUGAAGAAGGCCUUCGGGUUGUAAAGCACUUUCAGUCGUGAGGAAGGUAGUGUAGUUAAUAGCUGCAUUAUUUGACGUUAGCGACAGAAGAAGCACCGGCUAAC
rnacentral:rRNA from 1 species